CAGAGCUUAUUGCUUCACAUUAGUUGCAUGUGUAGAUGCACCCGCUGUCUUGGAAGUGAUUUGCUUUGGAAAUCUCCAGGACAAGAAGGAAACACAGUGAUGUUUUUAAUAUUAUCAUGAAGUGGAGUGAGGACCAGACAGUUGCAGCCACUAAAUAUUGGGUUCAGCUAAUCAUUGUUGCAAAUAAGAAAUUGGUACAUCACUGACAACAUACCU